UCCUUAGUGGCUUAGAGGAUAAAGAAUCUGCCUGUAAUGUGGGAGACCCAGGUUCGAUUCCUGGGUUGGGAA
rnacentral:tRNA from 1 species